AUGGGCAUAUCGGAUAACUUCUCACAUACCGACGGGAGAAUCAUUGUUCAACCUGGCCUAUGAAAUAGAGACGAUGAUUCUACUUGAGAUCGGAUUGCCAUCAACAAGAGUGGAACAGUAUAAUGAGCCGAGUAAUUCAGAAUGUCGAAAAGUCAAUCUAGACUUAAUUUCGAAAGUCUGACAGCAAGUUCAAAUUCGGAUGGCAGCAUAUAGGCAA
rnacentral:lncRNA from 1 species